rnacentral:rRNA from 1 species
UACAGAGGGUGCGAGCGUUAAUCGGAAUUACUGGGCGUAAAGCGCGCGUAGGCGGCUUUGCAAGUCGGGUGUGAAAUCCCCAGGCUUAACCUGGGAACUGCAUUCGAGACUGCAUUGCUAGAGUAUGGGAGAGGGAAGUGGAAUUUCCGGUGUAGCGGUGAAAUGCGUAGAUAUCGGAAGGAACAUCAGUGGCGAAGGCGACUUCCUGGACCAAUACUGACGCUCAGGUGCGAAAGCGUGGGGAGCAAACAGG